UAUUGUCGCGCAUGCGCCAUUGAUAAUGUGCAGGAGCCAUCUUGGAUCCUUUUUUUUCAGCUGGAGUCGUGUGUCGUCGUGUUGAGGUGCCUCCGACACUCUCUCGCACACGCACACAUAUAUAUAUAUAUAUUUGUAUUGCAUAUUUUGUUGCAGCCGCCGCCGCAGCAACGUGUUCUAAAGAAAAGCAACCAUGCCGACUUAUUUCCUAAGACCCGAGAAUGCCCUCAACCGGGCUAACGAAUUUAUUGAUGUGGACAAGAAACAACGUGCCUUGGAUGUCCUGUACGAUGUCAUCAAAAGUAAGAAACACCGCACAUGGCAAAAGAUUCACGAGCAGAUUAUGGCCAAGUACCUUGAGCUCUGUGUCGAUCUCCGGAAGAGUCACAUUGCAAAAGAGGGCUUGUACCAGUAUAAGAUUAUUUGUCAACAGGUGAGCAUCAACUCUCUCGUGGAUGUGGUGGAGAACUAUUUGAAGUUGGCUGAAAAGACAACUGAGAAAGCUCGUGAACAAUCUCACCAAGCCGUUGUUGAUGUUGACGAUUUAGACAACCCUGAUACUCCGGAGAGCUUGUUAAUGAAAGCUGUGAGUGGUGAAGACACACAGGACCGUACAGACCGUGCCAUUCUGACACCAUGGGUCAAGUUUUUGUGGGAGUCUUAUCGUCAAUGUCUGGAUCUUUUGAGGAACAACUCUCGUGUUGAAAGACUGUACCACAACAUUGCACAGCAAGCUUUCCUCUUCUGCAUCAAUUACAACCGAAAAACAGAAUUCAGGAAACUAUGUGACAAUCUUCGCACACAUUUGAUGCAAAUCAACAAGCAGCAGCACCAGCAAACUGCAAUCAACCUGAACAAUGUGGAUUCACAAGCGAUGCACCUGGAGACACGUCUGGCUCAGCUGGAUAGUGCCAUCAGCAUGGAGCUGUGGCAGGAAGCUUUCAAAGCUGUAGAGGAUAUUUAUAACUUGAUCAGUUUAUCAAAGAAGCCGCCCAAGCCCGCUCUGAUGGCUAACUACUACCAGAAAUUAGGGCUUGUUUUUUGGAAAUCAGGAAAUCAUCUAUUUCAUGCCUGCACACUACAUCGACUUUUCCAUUUGUCCAGAGAUCAGAAGAAGAAUUUGUCUCAAGAAGAAUUACAAAGAAUGGCAACUCGUGUAUUGUGUGCCAGUUUGGCUAUUCCAAUUCCUCCCGCUAGAAAUGCUAUUGGUCAGUUAUUGGAUAUGGAUGAGAGUACUUUGGAGAAACAGCGUCGUCUAGCCACCUUGCUAAUGCUCAACAACCCUCCCAACAGACAGCAACUUAUCAAAGAUUUGGUGAAAUACAGUGUUAUACAGUAUGUUUUCCCCGAGCUACAGAACCUGUAUCGAUGGCUGGAGAUCGACUUCCAUCCUUUGAAAUUGUCUGAUCGUGUGAAACCCUGUAUCGACUUCAUCAACAACCAGCCUGACUUGAAGCAGUAUGUACCAGCUCUGCAAGACAUCAUCAUUACCCGUGUACUUAAGCAGGUAUCUCAAGUCUAUCAAACCAUAGAAUUUAACCGUCUGUCUGUUUUGGUGCCAUUUGCUUCUUCAUUCCACUUAGAAAGAGUGAUUGUCUCUUCUGCAAAGCAUUUAGAUCUUCAGGUGAGAAUCAACCAUCGAACUAAUUCGUUGAGUUUCGGUACUGACUUGGUCCUUGCCCAGAAAGAAGAUAUCCCUGAAGGCCCCUAUAUCCAAAGCAUGCCAAGUGAACGUAUCCGCAAUCAACUUUCAAUCAUGGCUCAAGUUCUGCACAAGUCUGUCCAACUGGUUCGUCCAAAGGAGACUGAAACUGACAAGGAAGACCAGAGGAAAGAGAUGAUUGAAACUUAUCGUUUGGCAGCAAAGGAGGAGCAUAAAAACAUUCUGAAGAGACGACAAAUCAUUGAGAACCGCAAAGAACAGCUAGAACAUCUUAACGACCAGAGGGAACGAGAGGAACAGGAACAACAAAAGGAGCAACGUCGCAAGGCAUAUGAAGCUGAAAUGGCCCGAUUGGAACGAGAGGCUAAGGAGCGCGAAAAACAACGAUUGGAAGAGGAGCACAAGGAGAUUCAAAGACGACAUGCCAAAGAACGCAUUGAACAGCUCCGCAAAUCAGAGAUGGGUGCAAAAUUCUUGCAAAAUAUCGACGAAGAAGACUUUGCUGAUUUGGACGUUGAUGAGAUCAUGGCACGACAAGUCGAACAGCUCGAGAAAGAGAAGAAAGAGCUGCUGGAGAGGUUGAAGGCUCAAGAAAAGAAGGUUGACUAUUUUAGCCGAGCUAAGAGACUAGAAGAAAUACCUUUACUUGAAGACCAGUUCAAGGAGGAGAAAGUACAAAACCAGAAAUUCUGGGAAGAACAGGAGAAAGGAAGGAUUGAAGGACUCAGAAAGGAACGAGAAUUGGCUUUGGAGACCUGGAAUCGUCUCAACCGCAUGAAAGAUGAGAGAGUCAAGUUUGUCAAGAUUUUGUCAGAAGCAAGAAAGUCUGACUUUAACGACAGAUUGAAGAAAUUUGAGGUGCACAUGCAAGAGGAAGCCAAGAGCCGGCUCAAGAAACGCAAGGAGAAACGUAAAAAAGAACGCCGAGAGAAGUUCUAUCGCGAAAAAGAGGAGGCCGAGAUACGCUUGAGGGAAGAGGUAGAGAGAAAAGAAACGGAAGAAAGAGAAGAAGCCGAACGAGUUGAACGUGAGAGACGUGAACAAGAGGCACGAGAGAGAACAGCGAAGCUGCAAGAACAGUUUGCUAAACAGAAGGCUCGUGAGAAAGAGAUUGAAGAGAAAGAAGCACGAAGAAGAGAAGAGCAGCUUAGAGAAAAGCGUGAAGCAGAAACCACCUCACACUCCUGGAGAGAGACCACUCCUAAGGUGGAAAAGGUUGCUGCUGCUGCUGAUGUAGCUAAAGAGAAGACACCAUGGAAACCGAUAUCCAAAGAAGGUGGUUGGCGUGAGCGGACUCUGCAGAGGGAAGACAGCUGGCGCAAGCCUGACUCUACCAAAGAAGCUGAAGAUAUACACUGGAAACAUGGCAAGAGUGAUCGCAUUCCUGCACGGGAUGUAAGAUAUGAAGACCCUCCUGAGGAACCAGACAAGGAGGACGAUAACUGGCGCAGCUCUGCUGAUGUGCCACUUAAAGAUACUCCAUUAAGAGAGAGCUCUGGAAGGAUGACUCCUGCCAAAUUCACCCAGCCACAAGAAUCAAUGCCAUCCAGAGACAGCUGGCGAGAAAAGGUUUCAAGGGAUGUGGACAGAGGUGACAGAGACAGAUUCCGUGAAGACAGAUGGGGACGAAAAGAAGAUCGUCGUGGGGGUGACGAUGAUGAGUGGAGGAAACCAAGAGUUUCUGGUAGAGAUGACAUGUGGAGAGGCCGUGACAGGGAUGAUACCGGUGGCGGUGGCAGUAGUAGCUGGAGAGACAGGGUUGGGGACAGGAGUGGGCCUCGAGAAGAGGGCAGUAGCUGGCGGGAUAAAGGCUCUUCUAUGGAUGACCGCUGGCGCCCUACACGAGAGGAACGACCUCCACCAAGAGAUCCAAUGUGGAUGCGUGACAGAAAACCACCCUCUUCACGAGAUGAUGACUGGAAAGACAGAGGAAUGGGUGAAAGGGGUGGUUUGAGAGACAGAGAUGGUCCUCGUGACAGAGACGGACCUCGCGAUAGAGAUAUGCUCCGCGAUAGGGAUGGACCUCGUGACAGAGAUGAUGCCUGGAGCAGUGACCGGCCUAUGUCAAGAAACACAGAUGACUUCCGGGAAAAAUCUGGAAAGUCCUUGAGUAGCUGGCGAGGUGGUGACCGUCGAGAAGAAAGAGGACCUCCAGGCCGUGAUUCAGAUUGGAGCAGGCGAGGAACUGAUCGUGGUCCCCCUGGCUUUUCUCGUCCAGAUGGAUCUUCACCACGGAAUUGGCGAUCAGGUGGUGGUGGUGGUGGUCCCAGUGGCGGUGGUGGUAGCAGCAGUGGUGGUGGUGGUGGAGGUAUGUAAAUUGUAUAUACUUUACAACUUAUUUUGAUUGCUUGGUAGUGUGUUAGAAAUCGGUUUCAUUAUAUUACUGUUAUCAAUUCUCUCUAGUUGUUGAUGGUGAGGGCAGUGUGAGAAAAUGUUUUUGUAAAUCUGAUAUACACUUCAUCAGAUCAGUAUGUGGUUGGCUAAGUUCGUAUUCUAUUUCAUAUGCUACUUAUCAAUGUCCAGGUUACCUAACUUUUACAAUAUUCACCAGUCAAAUAGUUAUUUAUAUUUCCUGGUUAUCUUUGAUCCAGCUUUCUUAGGAUCAAAUCUAGUUAAUGAGAAUUGUGUCUUUUAUUCUACUGUCGUUCCCCUUUUU
rnacentral:misc_RNA from 1 species